CUACGGAGGGUGCAAGCGUUAUUCGGAAUCACUGGGCGUAAAGGGUGCGUAGGCGGUUUGAUAAGUCUGAUGUGAAAUCCUAUGGCUCAACCAUAGAACUGCAUUGGAAACUGUCAGACUAGAAUACUGAAGGGGCAGAUGGAAUUAGUGGUGUAGGGGUAAAAUCCGUAGAUCUCACUAGGAAUACCGAAAGCGAAAGCGAUCUGCUGGGAAGUUAUUGACGCUGAGGCACGAAAGCGUGGGGAGCAAACGGGAUUAGAAACCCUAGUAGUCC
rnacentral:rRNA from 1 species